CAGCCCGGUGGUCGAGGUCGGGCCGUGGCGGCUGCUGAUCGCCGCGGCGUUCCUGUUCGCAGCGAUCGGCUGCGCCGCCGGGCUGGCC
rnacentral:tRNA from 1 species